CCGCCUCUUAAAGAACAUUGAACCCCCUCAAACUCAGUUCUGAGCAUUAGGGAUUCAAAUAUUUUUGCAAAAUCUUAGAACUCACAUCAGCCGAAAUUGUGAAAUGGAUAGGCUUGGGGAAGAUGAAUUAGCCUCAAUUUUGGAAUGGAUUCAAGACCCUCGUGACAGAAAUUCAUUUUCUCUGGUUUGCAAGCGUUGGUGCAAUGUUGAAGGCUUGAAUAAAUUUUCUCUCCGCGUUUUUGAGCCUAAUUACCUCCUAAGUUUUCUACCAAGAUUCCCAAAUUUGCUUAUGUUUGAAUCAUCGGAGCCAAUCUCAGAUGCCCAGAUGGAGUUUCUUGCAAGAACAUGCCCCAGCAUUCAGAAACUCAACCUCUACUACCACGAGGCAUUUCACACCUGGGCAUCAGCUAGACAUUCCGACUUUGGCCACGUUGGUUUAUGUGCUCUGGCAAAAGGGUGUUGCAAUUUGAGGUCAGUGGUGUUGAGGCGGAGAAGAGGAGUCAGCAAUGCUGGAGUUUCUUCGCUUGUUAAGUUUUCGCGAAAUUUAGUGAAUUUGGACGUGAGAUGGUGUAAAGGGAUUAGUGAUGAAGCACUUGAGGCAAUUGGGACCAUGAGUGCUUUGACAAGCUUGAAUUUGCAAGGUUGUUGUUUAAUUUCUGAUGAGGGGCUGGCUUCUUUGGCAAAAGGGUCUCUGUGCAAGUCCCUUGAGUUCUUAAAUCUUGCAGAAUGUGAUCGAAUUUCGGAUGAUGGGGUGAUGAAAUUGGUGGCAAUGAAGUCCUUGGAGGUAUUGAAAUUGGCAGAAUGUGGUCCAAAAGUGACUGAUGUUGGUGGGAGGGCUGUGGCUGCAAUUGAAAGUCUCAAGAGAUUGAAUUUAUCGUGGCUGAUAAAUGUAUCUGAUGACACAGUUUUUGCUCUGGCUCAAAAUAGCAAAAAUUUGGCGACACUUCAUUUAGAGGGCUGUGAAUUGGUUACAGGAGAUGGUAUCCGUGCAUUUACUAGCCACAAGUCUUUACGUAAGCUAGAAUUGUGUGGUAUUUAUAAAUUUAACGUAAAUGAUGUCGAAGAGCUGGUGCUUGGAUGCCAAUCUUUGGAGUUUAUUGGGAUGGAUCAAAGAUUGAGAAGUUGGAUUCCUGUUACAGAGCAGGGGAAUAUAUUUAGGCCAGAUUGUCGGAUUUCUUGGAGGUUAUAGACCAAUAAAAGACUUACAUUUGUUAGUAGAAGGAAUUGUUCUGCAGACAAACAUGAUGAUGAUAAGUGCAAAGGCAAAGACAAGACAGAAAUUCAAGCUUCUAUUCUAGGUGAAGGGAUUUCACAUUAGGACGUAUCCCUACUAGAAGGCCAAUUUGGUGAAGUACCUAUACGGAAUUACUUUGGUUUCCUGCAAAAGAAUUGGAUAUCUUGUAGCAUGUGGUGCCAUUAUAAUAUCCUUUACAAGAUGCUAAUGUAAUGCUCAUUCAUAAAAGUUAAGGUCAAGGAUAGCCUGUGGUUCGUGAACCAUUAUGAAGUAUAACAUAACAUCCCUGUAGUUUUAGAAUGCUCACCUUUCGCAUGUGGUCUGAAACGUGAGCCAACUAGAAGUUGGAGUUCGUACUUUCUCCAGACAGCUAUGUUCGUGUCUGACUGGUGAUUUUUCUUUUUCAUUGUUUUAUAUUUUUUUUCUUUUUGUUUAUGUAGAAAUGUCAAAUGGAUUUGAGUUAAUGAUGCUCAAGUUUGUCAAGAUUGUCUUCAGCAGGCACAAUAUAUCAUCUUUAGAGGGCUAGGAAUGGAAGUGUUCAGUUGUUCAAUUACACUUGAUAUUGCUAGCAGUACAAGCCUUGAUGGUCUUCUCAAUGUGUUCCAAUACGUGCUCUUGAUGUUGUCAGCACAAGUUUUAAGUAUUGGCAUAUGAGUUCUUGCCUUUCAGGCUUUUAUAGAGGAACUCUGUCUACAUUUACUAGGAUUUUAGAUUUGUGGUUAAAGAUGUGCAUUUAGCAGCCUUCAUAUGCAGGAAUUGCCAUAUAGAAGUAUUUGAAUAUGAUAGUUAUAUACAUCUAGAAAACAAGAAUGCUUGCAUUACAACUGAACACAAGGGGAGUUACAAACUUACAAUUGUCACUCCCUAUGUGCUGCAUAUAUUUCUGUUCCUUUUCCAGGGUCUGAACUAGAAAGUGCCCUUCUCUUGAAUGAGUUACGUUGCUCCUCUAA